rnacentral:lncRNA from 1 species
CCUCUGAAACUACUGGGUCAAAUUAAACCAAACUUGGCCACACUCAUCAUUGGGGUAUUUAGUUUAAAAAUUGUGUCCCGUGACCUGGCCAACCAACCAAGAUGGCCGCCAUGGCUAAAAAUAGAACAUAAGGGUGAAAUGUAGAUUUUGGCUUAUAACUCUGAAACCGCAGCCUUUAGAGCAAAUCUGACACGGGGUAAAAUUGUUUAUCAGGUCAAGAUCUAUCUGCCCUGAAAUUUUCAGAUGAAUCUGACAACUUGUUGUUGGGUUGUUGCCCCUGAAUUGGUAAUUUUAAGGAAAUUUUGCUUUUUUGGUUAUUAUCUUGAAUAUUAUUAUAGAUAGAGAUAAACUGUAAACAUCAAUAAUGUUAAGCAAAGUAAGAUUUACAAAUAAGUCAACAUGACGGAAAUGGUCAAUUGACCCCUAAGGAGUUAUUGUCCUUUAUAGUCAAUUUUUAACAAUUUUCAUAAAAUUUGUAAAUUUUAACUAACAUUUUCCACUGAAACUACUGGGCCAAGUUCAUUAUAGAUAGAGAUAAUUGUAAGUAGCAAGAAUGUUCAGUAAAGUAAGAUGUACAAACACAUCACCAUCUCAAAACACAAUUUUGUCAUGAAUCCAUCUGCUUCCUUUGUUUAAUAUUCACAUAGACCAAGGUGAGCGACACAGGCUCUUUAGAGCCUCUAGUUU